rnacentral:misc_RNA from 1 species
AAUGCGAGGAGGGGGAGAAGGUCCCAGUGCGUGUUAUUAGGACGGGGCUGUCGCCAACUCCGGCGCCGAUGUCAGGUGGAGACCUGCCGGCAUUCCCUUCUCCUGGUUGGGUGUCAAGUACUUCGAGUUCUCCAAGCUUCUCGCCCGAGGGUUCUCCUCUGAAGCCUGGAGAGGGGCUGCCGGCGGCUUCUCCGGCGUCUGGCGGAGGGAUUCCGUUCAUA